rnacentral:rRNA from 1 species
UCUGUGGCCAUACCACUCUGAACGCACCUGAUCUCGUCUGAUCUUGGAAGCUAAGUACGGUUGGGCCUGGUUAGUACUUGAAUGGGAGACCACAUGGGAAUACCGGGUGCUGUAAGAA